AGCGAACGCUGGCGGCAGGCCUAACACAUGCAAGUCGAACGGAUCCUUCGGGAUUAGUGGCGGACGGGUGAGUAACACGUGGGAACGUGCCCUUUGGUUCGGAACAACUCAGGGAAACUUGAGCUAAUACCGGAUGUGCCCUUCGGGGGAUAGAUUUAUCGCCAUUGGAGCGGCCCGCGUCUGAUUAGCUAGUUGGUGAGGUAAAGGCUCACCAAGGCGACGAUCAGUAGCUGGUCUGAGAGGAUGAUCAGCCACAUUGGGACUGAGACACGGCCAAAACUCCGGCGGGAGGCAGCGGGGGGGAAUCUUGCGAAAGGGGCGAAACCCUGACGCACCCAUGCCGCGAGAAUGAUGAGGUUUUGAGUUUUGUAAAAUUCUUCCCCCGGGGACGAUAAUGACGGUACCGGAAAAAGAACCCCCGCCUAACUUCGUGCCAGCAGCCGAAUUAA
rnacentral:rRNA from 1 species